GCGAGGAUGGCGGAAUUGGCAGACGCACUAGCUUGAGGUGCUAGCGAGUAACAUCGUGGGGGUUCAAGUCCCCCUCCUCGCA
rnacentral:tRNA from 2 species